UCUGAGAAGGUGAUGAUCCCAAUACGCAUAGUUCAACUGAAAGCCUUCCAGGCGCUGUUGAUACGAAUCCAUCAAAGUCUUUCGCUCCUAUCUGAUUCUCAGC
rnacentral:snoRNA from 1 species